GGCAUUUCAAGGUUGGCAUAUCAAGUGUUUCUUGAUGGCAACACGUCACCAGAAUUUGGCAUUCCAAGAUUAUUUCAUUAAUCAUUAUUUGCUUCAAAAUACAUAGAAUAUUAACAUAUAUUAGCAUUCUAUCAUGGAAUGUGUUGAACUUUUAAACAUUAUCCUUGCCCCCACAUACCUAUGAUCUAGAAUAAUUGCACCAAAAUCCAUAGAAUGCAAAGCAAUAGUAUUUGGAUAUAAGAAAUUUAGAAAUACACAUUUCGCCAGUUUCAUGUGCCCAGAUAAGGGGAAGUUUC
rnacentral:misc_RNA from 1 species